GUAAAAUACCAAUAUAAAACUUUAAAAUACCUAACCAUACGAAUUAAUUUAAUAGGAAAAUGAUAUAUUAUUUUUAAAAAGUCAAAUACCGAACCAAAAUUUCAAAUCCAUACCAUACCAUGCGGCUCCUAACCAUGCACAAUUAACCCGAUCAAAGUGUCACACCACAGAAAAGGGACUAAAGUUCUAUAAAAUUGAACAUAAGGGGUGUAAGGUUACCAAAUUCUAAGUAGAGGUCUUUCCACAAAUGCAAUUCCAACUGUAAAAUGGAAAUUAUUUCUGUAAUUUGAAAAAUGGGAACUUAUUACUUGUGUUCAACUCUCCAUAGAUUUCCAGUAUAUUAUCCAGACUGCUUGGUCCGCCAAGGCUGCUUACACAAUCCUCCCAAACGCGUAAAUGCAACAAGUAUUGUGAGUAGCUAUAUUUGUGGGGAACAACGGUCAUGGCGGAAGCCUAUAACUGCAGCGAUACUGGCGGCAGCUGCAGCAUGUGCUGUGAUAGUGGCGGUGAAUGGGGCGGUGGCGGCGGAGGUUGAAACACAACAGGAAACACUUGGAGAGACGUUUUUGAAUGUACCGCAAUUGUUGUCUGGUGAUUGUGUUGAUGGACAGAAGGAUUGUAAGAAGGCGAGGAUUCAACGACCUAAGUCAAGGCAAGCUGAGAGUUGUACUGUUAAAUGUGUUAAUACUUGUAUUCGUGGUGGAAGUGGAUCUCCUGGUGAAGGUCCUCUUAACGUUAGAAGGCCCCUGGUGGUGUUUAAGCAAGGGUUUCGCAGUCGCCAAUACUGUUUGGUGGAAUGCUCUGAUAUAUGUAAUUUGAUGAAAGAUGGUGAAGAUGGACCAUAGGCUGUACAGUUAAUCUUAUUUUGGAUUGAAUUCUUUAUUUGAGCCUACAAAAAUUCCAGGCGCCAAUAUUCUUGUAUUCUGAAGUGAGAAAUGGGAAUAGGAAAUCAAAAUACUAUCACACCGAUACUCGCGGUUCUAUGUUAUGAUGUAACACUUUGGUACUUGCAUAUUUAUAUUAUUAUGUCCAUGCUCUUAUGCAGAGUAAGAGAUGGACAGUUUAACUAAAAAAAGGAGUAUCAUUUUGGUGGUAAUGCAGAAAGGAAGGAAAAUGAAGAAUUUCCUUUUUCUUAUUUGCUUUACAGAAAGUAAGGAGGAAAAUGAUCCUUUUUUCUGGGUUACGGGUUUCUUUUGUCUGUUGGAGUAUCUUGGGGUUUUUCCCCCUUUCCUAUUUUUCUUUCUAUGUUUAAUGGGAUGUUGAUACUUUUACUGGCGAUUGUAUUGUCUUAUUUGUUCACCAAAUUGAUGUGGAUAAUUUGUAAGAACUUAUUUAAGAACAUCAUUCAAACUUAAUAUUCCAAGGACAUGUUUUUAUGUUA